GUGGGCAACCUGCCUGUAAGACUGGGAUAACUUCGGGAAACCGGAGCUAAUACCGGAUAAUCCUUUUCUACUCAUGUAGAAAAGCUGAAAGACGGUUUCGGCUGUCACUUACAGAUGGGCCCGCGGCGCAUUAGCUAGUUGGUGAGGUAACGGCUCACCAAGGCGACGAUGCGUAGCCGACCUGAGAGGGUGAUCGGCCACACUGGGACUGAGACACGGCCCAGACUCCUACGGGAGGCAGCAGUAGGGAAUCUUCCGCAAUGGACGAAAGUCUGACGGAGCAACGCCGCGUGAGUGAUGAAGGUUUUCGGAUCGUAAAACUCUGUUGUUAGGGAAGAACAAGUACAAGAGUAACUGCUUGUACCUUGACGGUACCUAACCAGAAAGCCACGGCUAACUACGUGCCAGCAGCCGCGGUAAUACGUAGGUGGCAAGCGUUGUCCGGAAUUAUUGGGCGUAAAGCGCGCGCAGGCGGUCCUUUAAGUCUGAUGUGAAAGCCCACGGCUCAAC
rnacentral:rRNA from 1 species